UACGAAGAAUGCAAGCGUUGCUCAGAAUUAUUGGACGUAAAGCGCACGUAGGCAGCUUGGCAAGUCGGAUGUGAAAUCCCUCGGCUCAACCAAGGAAGUGCAUCCGAAACUGCUGAGCUUGAGUACUUAAGAGGAUCGCGGAAUUCCCAGUGUAGAGGUGAAAUUCGUAGAUAUCGGAAGGAACACCAGUGGCGAAGGCGGCGAUCUGGGAAGAUACUGACGCUGAGAUGCGAAAGCGUGGAGAGCAAACAGG
rnacentral:rRNA from 1 species